rnacentral:rRNA from 1 species
UUUGAGAAUUUGAUCCUGGUUCAGGAUGAACGCUGGCGGUGUGCUUUAGGUAUGCAAGUCGAUCGGUCUGUAAGACCGAACAGUUAACAAUUCAACAGUUAACCAAUUAACAAAUUUACCAAUUAACUACAAAGUUAAAAGUCAAUAUUGUUAAUUUGUCAAUUUGUUGCAUUCGUUGAAGGUUCUGUCUUACAGACAGAGGCGGACGGGUGAGUAAUGUACAAGAAUCUACCCUCGACCGGAAAAUAACCUGUCGAAAGACGGGCUAAUGUUCCAUGAAGACUCCGGUUUAAAGCGAUUAACUUCGCGGUUGAGGAGGAGCUUGUAUCCUAUCAGCUAGUUGGUAAGGUAAUGGCUUACCAAGGCGAUGACGGGUAGCUGGACUGAGAGGUCGGUCAGCCACAACUGCACUGAGACACGGGCAGUACACCUACGGGUGGCAGCAACUAGGAAUAUUGGGCAAUGGACGAAAGUCUGACCCAGCGACACCGCGUGGAGGAUGAAGGCCCUCGGGUUGUAAACUCCUUUUGCCAAGCUCUUCACGGCUUGGAGAAUAAGCCUCUACUAACUACGUGCCAGAAGUCUCGGUAAUGCGUAGGAGGCAAGCGUUAUCCGGAUUUAUUGGGCGUAAAGGGUGCGUAGGCGCCCCGCCAAGUUUCUAUUCAAAUGCUACGGCUUAACCGUAGAACCGGUAGAAAAACUGGCGGGGUUGAGGAUUGUUCGGGGCAUCGGAACAGUUGGUGUAGCGGUGAAAUGCGUUGAUAUCAACUGGAACACCGAAGGCGAAGGCAGAUGCCUGGGAUUCUCCUGACGCUGAGGCACGAAAGCUAGGGUAGCGAAACAGAUUAGAGACCUGUGUAGUCCUAGCUGUAAACUAUGUCCGCUAGAUUCGGGUCGUAAGAUCCGAGUCGCAGCUAACGCAUUAAGCGGACCGCCUGGGGAGUACGGCCGCAAGGCUAAAACUCAAAGGAAUUGACGGGGACCCGCACAACCAGUGGAGCGUGUG